rnacentral:rRNA from 1 species
UACGUAGGGGGCGAGCGUUGUCCGGAAUCAUUGGGCGUAAAGCGCGUGUAGGUGGUUCGGUAAGUCCGCUGUGAAAGUCGGGGGCUCAACCCUCGAAAGCCGGUGGAUACUGUCGGGCUUGAGUACGGAAGAGGCGAGUGGAAUUCCUGGUGUAGCGGUGAAAUGCGCAGAUAUCAGGAGGAACACCAAUUGCGAAGGCAGCUCGCUGGGACGUUACUGACGCUGAGACGCGAAAGCGUGGGGAGCAAACAGG